CCUACGUGCUGCAGCAGUGGGGAAUAUUGGACAAUGGGCGAAAGCCUGAUCCAGCCAUGCCGCGUGUGUGAAGAAGGCCUUCGGGUUGUAAAGCACUUUCAGUGGGGAAGAAAGCCUUGGGGCUAAUACCCUCGAGGAAGGACAUCACCCACAGAAGAAGCACCGGCUAACUCCGUGCCAGCAGCCGCGGUAAUACGGAGGGUGCGAGCGUUAAUCGGAAUUACUGGGCGUAAAGCGCGCGUAGGCGGUCUGAUAAGCCGGUUGUGAAAGCCCCGGGCUCAACCUGGGAACGGCAUCCGGAACUGUCAGGCUAGAGUGCAGGAGAGGAAGGUAGAAUUCCCGGUGUAGCGGUGAAAUGCGUAGAGAUCGGGAGGAAUACCAGUGGCGAAGGCGGCCUUCUGGACUGACACUGACGCUGAGGUGCGAAAGCGUGGGUAGCAAACAGGAUUAGAUACCCCUGUAGUC
rnacentral:rRNA from 1 species